CUUAGUGGCGGACGGGUGAGUAACGCGUGAGCAACCUGCCCUUCAGUGGGGAAGUAACAACCGAGAAAUACGGUGCUAAUACCGCAUAAUGUCGGAGGACCGCAUGAUCUUCCGACCAAAGGAUUUAUUCGCUGAAGGAUGGGCUCGCGUCCGAUUAGGCAGUUGGCGGGUAACGGCCCACCAAACCAACGAUCGGUAGCCGAACUGAGAGGUUGAUCGGCCACAUUGGGACUGAGACACGGCCCAGACUCCUACGGGAGGCAGCAGUGGGGAAUAUUGGGCAAUGGGCGAAAGCCCUGACCCAGCAACGCCGCGUGAAGGAUGAAGGUCUUCGGAUUGUAAACUUCUUUGAUUGGGGAAGAAUAAAUGACCUACCCAAAGAACAAGUCACGGCUAACUACGUGCCAGCCGCAGC
rnacentral:rRNA from 1 species